GAUGAACGCUGGCGGCGUGCCUAAUACAUGCAAGUCGAGCGAACAGACGAGGUGCUUGCUCCACUGACGUUAGCCGCGGACGUGAGAGUAACACGUGGUUCCCCUACCUCUAAGACUGGGAUAACUUCGGGAAUCCGGUGCUAAUAACGGCCUUUCUACUCAACCGCAUUGUUCAAUAGUUAAAGCCGGUUUUGCUGUCCCUUCUAGCUGGCUCCGCGCCGCAUUAGCUAGUUGGUAAGGUAACGGCUUACCAAGGCCACGCUGCGUAGCCGACCUGAGAGGAUGAUCGGCCACACGGGUACGAAGACGCGGUGCAGACUCCUGAGGGAGGCAGCAGUAGGGAAUCUUCCGCAAGCGGCGGAAGCGUGACGGAGCAACGCCGCGUGAGUGAGGAGGGUCUUCGGAGCGUAAAACACGGCGAUUAGGGAAGAACAAAUGUGUAAGGAACUAGGCGCGUCUGGACGGUAGCGGAACAGAAAGCCACGGCUAACUACGUG
rnacentral:rRNA from 1 species